UUCGUGUUCUGGUUGUUUAUUGGAAGAAAGCUUUCUAGAGAAGAGGAGAGGAGGCAGGGAUAGGGCAGAGCUAGAGACCGGCUUUCUAGUGUGGAAAAUCUGGGGCAGGAAUUGCCCUGAAGGACUCACCUCUCCUGAGGCCUCCCGAUGAAUUCCCCCACACUCCUCUCCUAAGUAUGCCUGUCUGUUAGCUUCUGAGUCAAGAGCCAGCCUGAAGCCAGAUCAUGGUGAUCCGGUAUCUAAGUGUCCGUCCUGAACUAUGCCUGCAGCGCAUGUGUUGUCAAGUGCAGCCCUGUGUGCAGCUCUGGAGACGCUCACGAGCAUGUGGAAGCCCUAGCCGCCAAGAGAUGGAGCGCCCACUGUGUGUGAGAUGUUCCAGAUUUCUGACCCAGAAGAAGCCUGUUUCAUCAUCAUCACCAUUUGCCACAGCAUGUACUCAAGGAGGUGCCAGGAAUGCCCACUGGACUCCUGCUGUGACUCUCCGGGGAUGAAGAUGGAACCUUCUAUUUUGUACUGUACACACAUUUCUGCAUUGCCUGAUUACUGGAAAGCAAGUUGGUAUUAGACGGACA